rnacentral:rRNA from 1 species
UAGAGUUUGAUCCUGGCUCAGAUUGAACGCUGGCGGCAUGCUUUACACAUGCAAGUCGAACGGCAGCGCGGGGCAACCUGGCGGCGAGUGGCGAACGGGUGAGUAAUAUAUCGGAACGUACCCAGAAGUGGGGGAUAACGUAGCGAAAGUUACGCUAAUACCGCAUACGAUCUACGGAUGAAAGUGGGGGACCUUCGGGCCUCAUGCUUUUGGAGCGGCCGAUAUCUGAUUAGCUAGUUGGUGAGGUAAAGGCUCACCAAGGCGACGAUCAGUAGCUGGUCUGAGAGGACGACCAGCCACACUGGGACUGAGACACGGCCCAGACUCCUACGGGAGGCAGCAGUGGGGAAUUUUGGACAAUGGGCGCAAGCCUGAUCCAGCAAUGCCGCGUGAGUGAAGAAGGCCUUCGGGUUGUAAAGCUCUUUUGUCAGGGAAGAAACGGCUGAGGUUAAUACCUUUGGCUAAUGACGGUACCUGAAGAAUAAGCACCGGCUAACUACGUGCCAGCAGCCGCGGUAAUCGCC